CAGCGGCCGCGGCCUCCACGUGGCAGGGCGGGGCUCCCGCCCCCCCGGACACGUCAGCGGAGCGCAGGGCCCGGCGGGGCUCCCCCAGCGCGGCGCGUGGCAGGGCCUGGCGGGGCUGGCGCGGGACAGCCCGAGCGCGGCAGCCGGGAGCGCGGCAGGAGGACGCGGGCCCCGCCCGGGCCGCCCCGGGGCAGCACCCGGCGCAGGCGCAGGCGCAGCGGGCGGGCGCGGCGGGGCCCCCUGGCGGCGGAGCUGCCCGCUCUCGUCUCCCCUUCAACGACGUGCCCCCGGCCGCGGGAGCGUCAGGCGCCCGGGAGCCGCCCGGGUCACGGGCUCGUGCCGCCCGGAGGUGACGCGGCCCAGGGCGAGGGAAUUACGCAGGCAAGGCUCGACUGUCCCGCGGCUGCUGCCCCCGGGAGUGAAAACUCCCGUCCCGCAGGAGAACGUGUGUCGUCACUACCACCUCGAACCAGCCCCCCGGAGGAGGCCCUGGGGUCCGUGGAGGGGAGAACACCCGCUCGCUCUUGCUCUCGUAGACUGUCGGGGCGGUGUUGUCUGUCCACGCCAGCUGAUGCCUGGCUGUACAGAACUGAGCACACGGAGAGGGGCCAGCCCGUAACGUCACCAAGACAGACUGGAUUUGUUCUGUUCCUGUGACAUUCACUUCCAUUGUGGCCAUCUAGGUUCUGCUCCAUCAUAUGCCUCAUGGUGUGACACUGCCCCUCCGCACACAAUCCACACACGGCAAGCAAGAACAGGAUGAGGUUAGUCUAGUUUAUAAAAGGCAUUGUCAUUUCCAUAUAUUAAAACAAACCUUUCAAGGCAUAUGGAAGAUACUUUAAAGAGUCUUACUAGCCUGCCUCAAUUUGUGCUUAGGGCUGCCUGAUAGUGUGCAGCAGAAGAAAAUAGUUACUCAACACCAUGGGGGCUAAUUCUGUUCUGAUCUCAGAUGGGAGAUAGAGUUUUUGUUUUUUAAAUUAGGCCCACUAAUUUCAUGUCAUAUGCCAAGAAAAAGCAGUCCAGUUUUUGUUCAUGAUGCCCUCCCUACCUGGCUGACGGGGGCAUUCAGCAUCUAGUUGUAAAGUUAGUGAAAUAUGGUACUUGAGUUUUCCGGCUCACCUCUAAGCUUUAGAGCCGCAAACUCCUCAUGCCAGGGUCUACCAGAGAGCCUUUUUAUGUCAGUGUGCGCUCCCCACUGAUUCAACAGCAGCUCUAAAUACAGGGUGGAAUGUAUGUUUGUUCAUCACUAAUUGUUACAGCAGCACAUUUAAAUUACAAUAAAGCAGCGGGACUGGC